rnacentral:rRNA from 1 species
GACGAACGCUGGCGGCGUGCUUAACACAUGCAAGUCGAACGGAAAGGCCCUGCUUUUGUGGGGUGCUCGAGUGGCGAACGUGUGAGUAACACGUGAGUAACCUGCCCUUGACUUUGGUAUAACUUCAGGAAACUUGGUCUAAUACCGGAUAGGAGCUCCUGCUGCUUUGUGUUGUUUGUAAAGUUUCGGCGGUUGGGGAUGGACUCGCUGCUUAUCAGCUUGUUUGUGGGGUAGUGGCUUACCAAGGCUUUGACGGGUAGCCGGCCUGAGAGGGUGACCGGCCAAAUUGGGACUGAGAUACGGCCCAGACUGCUACGGGAGGCAGCAGUGGGGAAUAUUGCACAAUGGGCGGAAGCAUGAUGAAGAAAAGCAGCGUGCGGGAUGACGGCCUUCGGGUUGUAAACAGAAUUAGAAUGUGAAGAAGAGUGAGUGACGGUAAUGGGUAAAGAAGCACCGGCUAACUACGUG